AAGUAAAAAACGUUAAGUUAAAAUAGCAAUAAUAGUGAUGUUUACUUAUGCAAUCAUGUGGACAAGUCAUUGAAUAGUUUAUAAAUUCAGAAUAAUAGUUUGUUCUCUUAAACACGUCAUAAAAAUAUUGGAGAUAUUAAUGUGGUAUUUUGUGAUUCAUAACAGUGUGCUACAGAAUAGAAAUAUAAACAAACCUUAACAUAAUAUGAAAGUCAGCUAUUCAUUAUUUUUUAAAAUCAGUGACUGAAAUACUUUCUGAAAACAGAAUCCUCCCACUGAAAUUCAGUAGUAAAAGCCGUCUGCCGACAAAUCUCUAAAUAGAAGCUUUUCUGGGUUAGUUUUAUAGGAAAAUUUGGGGGAAUUUCAAAACCCAAUGAAAACACUUCCCAAAAACUUACCCAGUGCAUCUGCUGACCUACUUUUCUCAUCAUCAUCAAGUACUAGAAGUUUAUAGUGUCAACUUGCAAAUGACACUUCUGAAACUUCAUUGCGUUAAAAAACAAAAUUUAAAGGCGAUUACUGUUGGGUCUGUGUGAACUUGGAUAGCAGUGCUGCUCAAACU
rnacentral:lncRNA from 1 species